CAGCAGUAGCCACGGGAAUACGGAGGGUGCAAGCGUUAAUCGGAAUUACUGGGCGUAAAGCGCACGCAGGCGGUCUGACAAGUCAGAUGUGAAAUCCCCGGGCUUAACCUGGGAACUGCAUUUGAAACUGUCAGGCUGGAGUCUUGUAGAGGGGGGUGGAAUUCCAGGUGUAGCGGUGAAAUGCGUAGAGAUCUGGAGGAAUACCGGUGGCGAAGGCGGCCCCCUGGACAAAGACUGACGCUUAGGUGCGAAAGCGUGGGGAGCAAACAGGAUUAGAUACCCCUGUAGUCCCUGUCUCUUAUAC
rnacentral:rRNA from 1 species